GGCCGCACACGCGCCGGACCGGGUACCGCUGUGCCCGGCCUGGCCGCGGCCUAGUCCCGGCAGACGGGACUGACGAGGUCACCAAGCCCAGGCCGAGACGGCGCGGGUGUCAGGGACUUGGGAAUCCCCCUCCCCCAGUCCCGAUCCCGCUUUCCUUUGGGGUUUCACCUCAGAGGACCCGACAGCACUCUUGCAGAACAGCCGUCUGCCUGUCUUCCUGGCUCGCUCCCUGCAGGAAUGGUCUGGGGCAACCCCAGCAACACGCCCACCUGUGGCCAGGAUGAAUAGGAAUCCAGUUCAGGCUUGGCUUCCAUGGCAAUCAAGGCCCACCAGGCCCCAGCAACCUUCCCUACCCCCCAUUCCUUUUUGCUGCCCCCCUCCACACCAGGCAUGUUCCCUGCCACACCAUGCUGUUCCCCUCACCUGGGCUGCCCUCCCAACUCCUCUCUGCCUCUGGAGAUGCUCUGCCAUUCAAGACUUGGCUCAGGCUCCAGGUCCUCCCUGGGCCUUCUAGAGCCCCUGGUUCUCACUCCUCUGAACACUUCCAGCCUGGCUAAUAGCCCACUGCAUCCUGGCCUGGGGUACAGGUGGCCAGCACAGGUGUGGGGGCCAGCUUCCAACACAAGCACGGGUAGGUCCCUCUGCAGACCAUGGGCUGCAAGAGGCCCGGCCUUGCCCACUGCAGGGGCCCUGCGCAGGGCUGGGCACGAAGCAGGUGGGUGUCCACCAAUCUAGUAUCCAAAACCCUGCUUGGUUCACCCCCACCUCUGUUGAAGGAAAGCAACACUGUGAUGGAGAGGUUUCCUCAUCCUCAAGAUGGACUGCACCUUCUGGCAUCUCAAGUGGUUCUUGUGAAGAUUAAAUGAAUCCAUCAGGCCGGGUGCGGUGGCUCACGCCUGUAAUCCCAGCACUUUGGGAGGCCGAGACGAGCGCAUCACCUGAGGUCAGGAGUUCCAGACCAGCCUGGCCAACAAGACCUCCCCACAGAGUUGACGCUCUGGAAAGAAAAGCCAGGCUUUUCUCUGAGGUUUUGCAUCUCCUUGGCCAAUGUGCUCAUGCCAGAGAAGAGCAGUGCAUGGCCAGUUUGAGGAGCACGGCCAUGUGACCUUGGACAGCCCCUGCCUCUCUCUAGGACUCACUCCCGGUCCCUAACCUCAGCUCUCUGAUCUGUACCACAAGGAGCUGCCACUAACACCUGUGUCAGAACUACUGUAAGGACCCUUUCCGCUGCCAGCAGCCUUGAAGCCACCUGGGACUGCACAGUAUGUCUGUGUGUGCCUUGAUCGCAUCACCCCCUGGACCUCCAGUGACCGAGAUCUCCCGCCAGACACCCGGGGCUGAGUCCUCGGAGAAGCCGCCUGCCGGGUGCAUCACCAGGACUCCAUUGGUGGUCAGUCCAUCCAUCAGGCCAUCUGGGGUCCGCCAUUUGGCCGCUCGCUCCUGGGACCACAUGAGGGAUCAGAUCACAUCCCCCAGGGGCCCCCCAGCAGGCCAUGUGCCAGAGGCACUGCCCCCGCUACCUUCAAGUUCAGAGGCGGCCCAGAGAGGACUGGCAUUGAAGCUGCAUGACUUGAGCGUCUCUCUGGGCCUCACUUUGCUCAUCAGUUAGGUGGGGUUGCUAACUGCCAGGACCACCAUUUGGAUUACUGUGGGCUGGUUCAUCACCUCAAGAUGCUGCACCUCCCA
rnacentral:lncRNA from 1 species